UACGUAGGUGGCAAGCGUUAUCCGGAUUUACUGGGCGUAAAGGGAGCGCAGGCGGCGCGCCAAGUCUGAUGUGAAACCCCGGGGCUUAACCCCGGGCAUGCAUUGGAAACUGGCGGGCUGGAGUGCCGGAGAGGUAAGCGGAAUUCCUAGUGUAGCGGUGAAAUGCGUAGAUAUUAGGAGGAACACCAGUGGCGAAGGCGGCUUACUGGACGGCAACUGACGCUGAGGCUCGAAAGCGUGGGGAGCAAACAGG
rnacentral:rRNA from 1 species